AUUGAACGCUGGCGGCAGGCCUAACACAUGCAAGUCGAACGAGUGGCGGACGGGUGAGUAAUGUCUGGGAAACUGCCUGAUGGAGGGGGAUAACUCCUGGAAACGGUAGCUAAUACCGCAUACCAUCAGAUGUGCCCAGAUGGGAUUAGCUUGUUGGUGGGGUAACGGCUCACCAAGGCGACGAUCCCUAGCUGGUCUGAGAGGAUGACACGACACACUGGAACGGAGGCACGGACCAUACGCCUACGGGAGGCAGCAGUGGUGAAUAUUGCACAAUGGGCGCAAGCCGUAUGCAGCCAUGCCGCGUGUAUGAAGAAGGCCUUCGGGUUGUAAAGUACGUUCAGCGGGGAGGCGUUACCCGCAGAAGAAGCACCGGCUAACUCCGUGCCAGCCGCCGCGGUAAUUC
rnacentral:rRNA from 1 species